rnacentral:rRNA from 1 species
UAAUACGAAGGGGGCUAGCGUUGUUCGGAAUUACUGGGCGUAAAGCGCACGUAGGCGGAUAUUUAAGUCAGGGGUGAAAUCCCGGGGCUCAACCCCGGAACUGCCUUUGAUACUGGAUAUCUCGAGUCCGGAAGAGGUGAGUGGAACUCCGAGUGUAGAGGUGAAAUUCGUAGAUAUUCGGAAGAACACCAGUGGCGAAGGCGGCUCACUGGUCCGGUACUGACGCUGAGGUGCGAAAGCGUGGGGAGCAAACAGG